CUUUUGGCCAAUUUUGUUUUCCUUCCUUUGCGAUCCAACAUCUUUUUUGUUUUUUUUGUAUUUGUUUGUUGAAUCUUGAUAAAUUAAACCCCACCCUUCUUUUUUCUAUUCAUUGCAGAAAUCUGAGAUCGAAUUAGGAAAUCGAGAUGGGGUUUUUGGUGACCACUCUAAUUUUUGUAGUGAUCGGAAUAAUCGCGUCGCUCUGUACCAGAAUCUGUUGCAAUAGAGGCCCCUCU
rnacentral:misc_RNA from 1 species